UGUUGUAGAAUCACUGGUGAAUAAGGGGUGGGCAAGUUCUGGUGUCAGCCGCCGCGGUAAAACCAGCACCUCGAGUGGUCAGGAGGUUUAUUGGGCCUAAAGCAUCCGUAGCCGGUUGCAUAAGUUUUCGGUUAAAUCUAUGCGCUUAACGUAUAGGCCGCCGAAAAUACUGUGCAGCUAGGGAGUGGGAGAGGUACACGGUACUCGAUAGGAAGGGGUAAAAUCCUUUGAUCUAUUGAUGACCACCUGUGGCGAAGGCGGUGUACCAGAACACGUUCGACGGUGAGGGAUGAAAGCUGGGGGAGCAAACCGGAUUAGAUACCCGGGUAGUCCCAGCUGUAAACGAUGCAGACUCGGUGAUGCAUUGGCUUGUGGCCAAUGCAGUGCCGCAGGGAAGCCGUUAAGUCUGCCGCCUGGGAAGUACGUACGCAAGUAUGAAACUUAAAGGAAUUGGCGGGGGAGCACCACAAGGGGUGAAGCCUGCGGUUCAAUCGGAGUCAACGCCAGAAAUCUUACCUGGGGAGACAGCAGAAUGAAGGUCAAGCUGAAGACUUUACCAGACACGCUGAGAGGUGGUGCAUGGCCGUCGCCAGCUCGUGCCGUGAGAUGUCCUGUUAAGUCAGGUAACGAGCGAGACCCCUGCGUCUAGUUGCUACCAUUACUCUCUGGAGCAGUGGAGCGAAUUAGACGGACCGCCACAGUUAAUGUGGAGGAAGGAAGGGGCCACGGCAGGUCAGUAUGCCCCGAAACCCUAGGGCUACACGCGGGCUGCCAUGGUAAUGACCAUGUGUUCCGAAUCCGAAAGGAGGAGGCCAUCAUCAAACAAUAUCUCAGGUAUGACUGAGGGA
rnacentral:rRNA from 1 species